AUACGUAGGUGGCGAGCGUUGUCCGGAAUCACUGGGCGUAAAGCGCGCGCAGGCGGCGAUCUACGUCUGGGGUGAAAGCCCGGGGCUCAACCUCGGGACUGCCUUGGAUACGGGAUCGCUUGAGAAUCGGAGAGGCAAGGGGAAUUCCACGUGUAGCGGUGUAAUGCGUAGAGAUGUGGAGGAACACCUGUGGCGAAGGCGCCUUGCUGGCCGAUUUCUGACGCUGAGGCGCGAAAGCGUGGGGAGCAAACA
rnacentral:rRNA from 1 species